UGGGGAAUUUUGCACAAUGGGGGAAACCCUGAUGCAGCGACGCCGCGUGAUUUAGAAGGCCUUCGGGUUGUAAAAAUCUUUUCUAUGGGAAGAAAAUGACAGUACCAUAGGAAUAAGGACCGGCUAAUUACGUGCCAGCAGCCGCGGUAAUACGUAAGGUCCGAGCGUUGUCCGGAAUCAUUGGGCGUAAAGGGUACGUAGGCGGGUAAGCAAGUUAGAAGUGAAAUCCUAUAGCUCAACUAUAGUAAGCUUUUAAAACUGCUCAUCUUGAGGUAUGGAAGGGAAAGUGGAAUUCCUAGUGUAGCGGUGAAAUGCGCAGAUAUUAGGAGGAAUACCGGUGGCGAAGGCGACUUUCUGGCCAUAACCUGACGCUGAGGUACGAAAGCGAGGGUAGCAAACAGG
rnacentral:rRNA from 1 species